GCUCUGGCUUUUGUAGCACAUAUAAAAUUGGAACGACACAGAGAAGAUUAUUAGCAUGGCCCCAGCGCAAGGAUAACACGCAAAUUUGUGAAGUGUUUCAUAUUAUU
rnacentral:snRNA from 1 species